CCGUAUCCAGCCACGCAUGUCCUCCGCCGGCGACGGGGAAGACGGCGGCGGCGCCGCCGCCGACACGAUGGUCCUGGAGAUCACCGACGCAGCAGCAUCCCCCUCCUCCGCGCCUCCACCUCCCCCCAUCCCAGUCUCCGCGCUCGCCGCCCCACUCCCGUCCCCGACCGUCCUCGCGGUCCGCGCCGACCGGAGCAGGCUCAUCGAGAGCUCCUCCUACUUCCGCGCCCUCCUCGGCGGCAGCUUCAGCGAAUCGGGCAGCGGCUACGUGCGGAUCAGCUGCGACCUCGCCGCCGCCGUGCAGGUCCUCCGGUACCUCUUCGAGCCCCCCGCGAGCUUCGCGAUCUCGCAUCACAACUUCCUCCCGCUGCUGGAGGGUGCUCUGUUUCUCGCUGUCGAGAGCCUUCUAGUGGACUGUGAAAGGUGGUUCAGAACCGUGAGAUCUCGAAAUCCCUCCAUGGUGGUACCGUUGGAUUUCAUAAUCGAGGCCUGGUACUUCGCUCCAAAGCACGGGGUUACUUUUGUUGAAGACGUAUGUCCAGGAUAUCUAGCUCAGAAUUUUGUACAAGUUAUCUCCAGUAGGUCAUUUGUUCAUAUACCUUAUGAUCUGCUGUGCUCCACCAUUGAAUCCCCACACCUGACUGUGGAUAGUGAAAAGCAAUUGUGUGAAGCAAUUUUAUCUUGGGUUUCCGCAAGUAGGCAAUCCUGUGAACAAUCAGUCUCCAACUCAGCAGAUAACCAACUCUCCCUUCUUAGCAAGGUUAGGGUAUGCCUUUUACCUUUAGGAUUUGCAGCAGGUACAAAGAGAAACUGCUUUGAAUUUGGGAACAAUGCUGUAUGUAUGAUUCUUAAUCUGCUUAAGGACAGUUUGCAAACUCUACUGCAUACAGUUACCGAUGACAACUUGGAUAGUUACCGUAUUCGAUUAACAGAAUACUCCAAGAAAAUAGUACUUUCGGGAUGUCCCCAGUUAACUACGCAAUUCCUAUACAUAUCGGCGCUCCCCACUGAUCUAGAUGCUGUAUUUAAGAGAACUAUAGUGAGCGAUGUUAACGACGGAUGUUUGAACCAUUACAAUGGGCUGGUGAAGAAGGCUAAAACCUUGUCAUUUAGAAAUGUACGCAUUGUGGAUCUCUCCAAAUGUCCAAAUGUACAUUUUGGUGCAGUAAUUUUAUGGAUGAAGUGGACAUUUCCAGAAUUGAGGACGUUCAUAGCUUCCUAUUGUUUACUCUUUCAGUUUGAAGAUUUGCAGUGUUUGUUACUGAGAUGCCCAUGGAUUAAUGAAAUCAAUUUGAGUAUUGAUACAAGCGUUAUACUAUCCAAGUACUCGAUUAUAUCUUCUAGAUCUGAAGUACGGCGUGACGUGAAUCGAAAUCUAUCUAGCUAUUACAUGCAAAGUGGAUUAUAUGGGACCUCAGGAAACCCAGUUUUCUCAAAUAUAUCAAAAUUGAUACUGGAAGGCCGAAAUGAUAUUACUGAUAUGAACUUGCUGGAGAUAUCCAUGCUGAAAAGCUCUCUAUGUUAUAUAAACAUUAAACAUUGCACCCUGUUGACAGACGAUGAUAGCUUUUCUUACCAUAAGGAUGAACAUGCUCAUGUUAUGGCAUUUAGGUUGCAAGAAUUGCAUCUGGAAGGCUGUGAAGGUAUUAGUUGUGCUGCUAUGUCCCAGCUAGUGAGUAAUAUGAAUAUUGUGAAGUCCUUAUGCUUAAGGGAGACAUCACUUGCAGAUGGUGCUCUCUGCAACUUUGUUGGCUCUUCACUUGAGUAUCUUGAUAUUUCGGAGACUGUGGUUUCUAUGGUCUCAUUGGCACCAGUUAUACGAAGAAACUCUAAUUUGAGCUGCUUGAAAACAGCUGGAUGCCGUAACCUGCUGUUUGAACAGGGUGAGGUACAAUCCACGAGUGGUAACAAGUAUGGCAGGUUUCUUCAGGAGAUAACCAGUACGUGCUAUUUGGAGGAUGUAGAAAUGGGCUGGGCAUUUUGCCCUGUUCGAGUUGAUGACCUCAUUCCUUCUUUUAGUAAAGUAAGGAGGAUGACAGUUGGCCUUGGCACAACAUUACCAGAGAAUAUCCUGCAUGCUCUUCCUGAGAUCUGCCCGUUUCUCGAGUCUUUGGUUCUUAGGUUUCAGGUAAUCUCUGACAGAGUUGUAAGAAAUCUAUUGGAAUCGUCAACAAAUCUUCAGGUGCUCUGCCUGCACUAUUGCCUUGGCAAUUUGACUUCAUUUAGCUUUCAAACAAUGGCACCAGCGUUAAGAAUAUUACGGCUCCAGUGGGUUACUCCAUGGAUCACAAAUGAUGAUCUGACAAUUCUUACACAGAAUUGCAAUUUAGUUGAACUUUUGCUGUCUGGUUGCAAACUCCUUGACUCCAGCUCUCAAGAGAUAAUCUCUUCUGGGUGGCCAAACUUGGCAUGUUUACAACUUGAGGAAUGUGGUCAGAUAACACUUGAUGGGGUUGAUUCUAUUUUAGAUUGUAAAGCUUUGGAAGAAGUCUUACUUAGGCACACCGGUAGAGGUAUUGGAAGAACCAUUAUAACAGAUGCUAUCAGAGAGCUACCGCUCCUAAGGAAGCUGGCGCUGGAUCUCUGCGACGCGUCCGAGGGAGGCUACGACACCCCGAACGUUCCGGAGGGGAAGAUGAUGAGGAGCGUGAGGAUGAGCAGGUGCAAGAAGUCGGUGGCGGCGGCGAGGUCGUGCUUUGGGGAGGCGUCCUCCUCGAGCUCGAACCGGAAGCCGGUGCAGCACAGGGAGACCAUCGUGCUGGAGUGGAGCAGCCGGCAGCUGACGACCACCGUAGUGGAAGAAAGACUCUAGUCGUGUAACGGAACUUCUUUCUUUCUUUGGAGAGAAAGACUGUAGAACAAUUUAUCUUUACUUGCAUAAUCGUCCAAUUAUUUGGCAGAGAAACCGGGAAAAUGGAACAAAAGUGUUUUGUGACGUUGUUUUGAAGGUUUUUAUAGUAAUAUGAAUGGCACGUUUUU
rnacentral:rRNA from 1 species